rnacentral:lncRNA from 1 species
GGUAAUAACCCCAUAUCUUUGUGCCAUCUAAAGAAAAGGGAAACAAAUUCCUAAUUUCAUUCCCCCUUUUCUCUAGCAAAGGAUCAAGCUCAAGGGUGAUUCACAUUUCGUUUUUUAAGCUUCCCUCAAUGGUGAUUCGCGGUUCAAUCGUGGCGGUUGGCCGUUUGGGUGAAGGUGAUGAGCGAGGUAUGGUCAUCUUCUCUCUUCUCUUCCUUCUCGAGCAGCGACGGUGAUGAGACAGAGUCGAUGGUGGCUAUGGUGGUUCGGUUCCUCUCUUCGGAGACUAUGGUGGUUUGGUUCUUCUCUAUGGUAGCUAUGGUGGUUUGACGUUUUGAUUUUUUUCAAAGAUGUUUUGGUGAAUGGGUUAUGCUUUGAUGAAACGUGGGUUCUUUCAUAUGGGUAAUACAUGGAUAGGGAGGAUUUUGGUACUCUCCUCUUUGGUAGGCUGAGUUGGUUCAAGCUCUUGAAGGGUACAAAAAUAGAGUAAUGUCGAUAUUGACACUAGCUCACGAAUUACGCCUUCAGUGAAGGCUAAGCCGAGUAGGGAAUUUUCAUAGGAGAUGAUGUUGGCAUGAGGUAAAAUUUACUUUGUCAAUUAACAAAAUGCUUAUAAACAUGCUUACUGAAUGUGUGUUAUUUUUUUAUGUUUGUGAUACUAACUGGAUAACAAAUGUGCUUUUUUCUUGCAAUUAUGUAAGUAAAUGGAUGAUUAACUUACCUGCGAAUAUAAUCCUAGCUCUCUGUGUGAUGUCCUCUGAUUUGUGAUACGUGUAUAUGGGCUGGGUUAUGCGUGAUGGAUCGGUGCCUGAACUUUCUGGUUUCAAUGUGGGUGUAUAUUCUAGAUGCUUGAGUAUAUGUGUGUAUAGAUUGCUCUCCUUCUCUCACUGUGAUAUGUGUUCUGAAUGCUAUAUCCUCUUUUUGAUAACUAUGUGUAGCUUAUUCUCUUUUCAGGUUGCCCUCUUUUGAACGUAUGCAGAUUGCUCUCUGGUUUUGGCGAUAUGAGUGUGUAUGAUACUAUGAUAUGUGAAUUCUCUCUGUUUCCAACAUGUUUUGUAUUUUAUGCUCUCUGAUUGCUUCUUGUAUGUGUGUAGUGAUCUAUGUGAUUUCUAGUUGCAUUGCCCCUUUUAUACAGUUUGAAAGUAGACCCUUAGGCUGCCAAUUGUGAUUCAGAAUUUAUCAUAACAUUUGCUUUUCUGAAACUGCUCAAAGGGAAUUGUCAAUUACAAUAAUUAUGGUGUCACUGAAAUAAUAUGCCCUUCUCUGUAACUCUCAAGUGAUUCAUCUUUUUGAAUUAAACCUAUAAAUGCUCUAAUCAUAACCUCUAGGGUGCCUAUUAUUUCCAUUAAUUUUAUCAAUCGUUGUUUCUUAGUUGCCUUUCAGUCACUAAAAACAGUUUCAAUUGUGCAGGCACUCAUAACAUUCCCACGGUUAUCAGCAACUUUAAGACAAUCCUGAAAGAUAUUUGAGAGUAUUCUUUUAACAAUAAUCUCUUUGCCACAAGGUUUUUUCAGAUGGUAAUGGAGGCAGCUUUUGGUUGAGAUCAGAGAGUAGCUUAGAGUAUAUAGGACAAGACGUUGUGUCUUCCACGGCUUUGUUAAAAAUAAUAUAAUAACUGUAAUGAAUUCCUUCAGCAUGUUGACUGUUGUAAUUCCAGAAUCCAUUAUAAUAACACCCUCCGAGAGUUACUGGAUAAAAUGUCUAAAGUUUAAAGAUUUUUGUCUUUUGUGUAUUUGAAGCAUCUUUGAGGAGUUUGAGAUAUAUUUUUUGGAGUAGUUUUCUUCCAAUGAUUACAGUCGGUAUUUGUAUUAAUUAUGACAACGUUUGUAACAAAUAUGAGCAUGCUUCUCACUACUAUUGUUGUAUCAAAAUACUCCAAGAAAAAUAGACCCAUUGUUUAUCACCC